AUGGAGCGGUUCUGUUUCCUAAGUGAUCCACCUUUGGUCAAAGAAAGCCUUGUGCCCAGAGUAGACAGAUUCCCUAAUAAAGAUGGAAGCGUCAACUCUGAAGCAAGGAUACUUGGUAAAAUGAUUUUAAAACUGACAAGAAAAAGCAGCUCGAAGUGGCCCAGCAAGUUCAGAGAAAGUCCGCGCUGGCGGGACGCACGGAGGCGGUGUGAUGAGCUGUGCGCUGCUGACACCACGCUGAGUGAACAGAGGAAGGCUCUUGGAGGAGGUUCAAGGGGCCAGCAUUGUCUUCCCCGAUGGCUCAACCAAGAAAGAAUCUGCCUGCAGUUCAGGAGACACAGAAGACGCAGGUUCGACCUCUGUGUCAGGAGGAUCCCCUGGAGGAGGAAAUGGCAAGCCACUCCAGUAUUCUUGCCUGGAGAUUUCCAUGGACAGAGGAACUUUGUGGGCUACAGCCCCUGGAGUUGCAAAGAGUCAGACACAACUGAGCAGGCAGGCAGAACUACAACUUGGUUGCUCUCUCUGAGAGGCCAGCAAGAGCUACCUUAUUAGCACAGAAUAAAGUAGCAGACCAAGGGGUCCCUCUGAAUGAC
rnacentral:lncRNA from 1 species